rnacentral:rRNA from 1 species
AAAUUGAAGAGUUUGAUCAUGGCUCAGAUUGAACGCUGGCGGCAGGCCUAACACAUGCAAGUCGAACGGUAACAGGAAGCAGCUUGCUGCUUCGCUGACGAGUGGCGGACGGGUGAGUAAUGUCUGGGAAACUGCCUGAUGGAGGGGGAUAACUACUGGAAACGGUAGCUAAUACCGCAUAACGUCGCAAGACCAAAGAGGGGGACCUUCGGGCCUCUUGCCAUCGGAUGUGCCCAGAUGGGAUUAGCUUGUUGGUGGGGUAACGGCUCACCAAGGCGACGAUCCCUAGCUGGUCUGAGAGGAUGACCAGCCACACUGGAACUGAGACACGGUCCAGACUCCUACGGGAGGCAGCAGUGGGGAAUAUUGCACAAUGGGCGCAAGCCUGAUGCAGCCAUGCCGCGUGUAUGAAGAAGGCCUUCGGGUUGUAAAGUACUUUCAGCGGGGAGGAAGGGAGU